rnacentral:rRNA from 1 species
UACGUAGGGUGCAAGCGUUAAUCGGAAUUACUGGGCGUAAAGCGUGCGCAGGCGGUGAUGUAAGACAGAUGUGAAAUCCCCGGGCUCAACCUGGGAACUGCAUUUGUGACUGCAUCGCUGAAGUGCGGCAGAGGGGGAUGGAAUUCCGCGUGUAGCAGUGAAAUGCGUAGAUAUGCGGAGGAACACCGAUGGCGAAGGCAAUCCCCUGGGCCUGCACUGACGCUCAUGCACGAAAGCGUGGGGAGCAAACAGG